UUAUACCUAUGAUGAUGCAUACCUCUCAGACAACUCCUCCACAGAAUCUGGAAGCACCACCGCAACCGCCUCCCCGGAGCAGGUCAUCCCACAGCUUGCCUUCAGAAUCGGUUCCUUCACAACAGCAAGAGCAACCAUCAGGGUAACAGAUUAACGCAAAUGGAGUCUAUGGCAUUAAACUUGAAACACAGUUAAACAAUGACCCUUUUGAAGAUCUGUCAUUUAAUCUGCUUGCUGCAUCAAAGGUUCAGACAUCUGUUCGAAUAUCAC